CGGCGGACGGGUGAGUAACGCGUGGGUAACCUGCCUCAUACAGGGGGAUAACAGUUAGAAAUGACUGCUAAUACCGCAUAAGACCACAGUACCGCAUGGUACAGGGGUAAAAACUCCGGUGGUAUGAGAUGGACCCGCGUCUGAUUAGGUAGUUGGUGGGGUAACGGCCUACCAAGCCGACGAUCAGUAGCCGACCUGAGAGGGUGACCGGCCACAUUGGGACUGAGACACGGCCCAA
rnacentral:rRNA from 1 species